rnacentral:rRNA from 2 species
ACGGGUGAGUAACGCGUGGGAACGUGCCCUCUGGUUCGGAAUAACUCAGGGAAACUUGAGCUAAUACCGGAUACGCCCUUUUGGGGAAAGGCUUGCUGCCGGAGGAUCGGCCCGCGUCUGAUUAGCUAGUUGGUGAGGUAACGGCUCACCAAGGCGACGAUCAGUAGCUGGUCUGAGAGGAUGAUCAGCCACACUGGGACUGAGACACGGCCCAGACUCCUACGGGAGGCAGCAGUGGGGAAUAUUGGACAAUGGGCGCAAGCCUGAUCCAGCCAUGCCGCGUGAGUGAUGAAGGCCUUAGGGUUGUAAAGCUCUUUUAUCCGGGACGAUAAUGACGGUACCGGAGGAAUAAGCCCCGGCUAACUUCGUGCCAGCAGCCGCGGUAAUACGAAGGGGGCUAGCGUUGCUCGGAAUCACUGGGCGUAAAGGGCGCGUAGGCGGCGUUUUAAGUCGGGGGUGAAAGCCUGUGGCUCAACCACAGAAUGGCCUUCGAUACUGGGACGCUUGAGUAUGGUAGAGGUUGGUGGAACUGCGAGUGUAGAGGUGAAAUUCGUAGA